rnacentral:rRNA from 1 species
UUCUUUAAUUGGGGACUGGAAUGAAAGGUUGAUACUCAGAGGAAGGUUUUAUUGUAUAAAUUUGAAUUUAAUUUAAAAGUAAAAAAGCUUUUUAUUAACCCUUGGGACGAGAAGACCCUAGAAGCUUUAGAGUUUUAGAGUGAAAAACUUUUUGAUUGGGGCAAUUAAGUUGAAGAGAAAUAUUUUUGGUGUUUUAUGUUAAAGUUAUAAGUUACUCUAGGGAUAACAGCGUAAUUUAAUUAGCGAGUUCUUAUUAAUAAUUAAGUUUGCGACCUCGAUGUUGAAUUAAAA